AGUGAACGCUGGCGGCAGGCCUAAUACAUGCAAGUCGAACGGCAGCACAGCAGAGCUUGCUCUGUGGGUGGCGAGUGGCGGACGGGUGAGGAAUACGUGGGAAUCUGCCCAGUCGUGGGGGAUAACGUAGGGAAACUUACGCUAAUACCGCAUGCGCCCUUCGGGGGAAAGCCGGGGGACCUUCGGGCCUGGCGCGAUUGGAUGAGCCCACGUCGGAUUAGCUAGUUGGCGGGGUAAAGGCCCACCAAGGCGACGAUCCGUAGCUGGUCUGAGAGGAUGAUCAGCCACACUGGAACUGAGACACGGUCCAGACUCCUACGGGAGGCAGCAGUAGGGAAUAUUGGACAAUGGGCGCAAGCCUGAUCCGGCCAUGCCGCGUGAGUGAAGAAGGCCCUCGGGUUGUGAAGCUCUUUUGUCCCGGUAAAGAAAAGGCGCCCGGGGUUAAAUACCCCUGGUGUCCUGACGGUACCGGAAGAAUAAGCACCGGCUAACUUCGUGCCAGC
rnacentral:rRNA from 1 species